GUAGGUGGCAAGCGUUGUCCGGAAUUAUUGGGCGUAAAGCGCGCGCAGGCGGUUCUUUAAGUCUGAUGUGAAAGCCCACGGCUCAACCGUGGAGGGUCAUUGGAAACUGGAGAACUUGAGUACAGAAGAGGAAAGCGGAAUUCCACGUGUAGCGGUGAAAUGCGUAGAGAUGUGGAGGAGCACCAGUGGCGAAGGCGGCUUUCUGGUCUGUAACUGACGCUGAGGCGCGAAAGCGUGGGGAGCAAACAGGAUUAGAUACCCUGGUAGUCCACGCCGUAAACGAUGAGUGCUAAGUGUUAGGGGGUUUCCGCCCCCCUUAGUGCUGCAGCUAACGCAUUAAGCACUCCGCCUGGGAGUACGGCCGCAAGGCUG
rnacentral:rRNA from 1 species